UACGGGGGGGGGCAAGCGUUGUUCGGAAUUACUGGGCGUAAAGGGCUCGUAGGCGGCCAACUAAGUCAUACGUGAAAUCCCUCGGCUUAACCGGGGAACUGCGUCUGAUACUGGAUGGCUUGAGUUCGGGAGAGGGAUGCGGAAUUCCAGGUGUAGCGGUGAAAUGCGUAGAUAUCAGGAGGAACACCGGUGGCGAAGGCGGCCCUCUGGACGGAUACUGACGCUGAGACGCGAAAGCGUGGGGAGCAAACAGG
rnacentral:rRNA from 1 species